UACGGAGGGGGCUAGCGUUGUUCGGAAUUACUGGGCGUAAAGCGCACGUAGGCGGCUUUGUAAGUUAGAGGUGAAAGCCCGGGGCUCAACUCCGGAAUUGCCUUUAAGACUGCAUCGCUAGAAUUGUGGAGAGGUAAGUGGAAUUCCGAGUGUAGAGGUGAAAUUCGUAGAUAUCAGGAGGAACACCAGUGGCGAAGGCGGCUUUCUGGACGGUAACUGACGCUGAGACGGCGAAAGCGUGGGGAGCAAACAGG
rnacentral:rRNA from 1 species